CAAGGAAUAGUUUAAAUAAAAUAUUAGUUUUGGAGAUUAAUGAUAAGAUUUCUUUUCCUUGA
rnacentral:tRNA from 1 species